UACGUAGGGUGCAAGCGUUGUCCGGAAUUAUUGGGCGUAAAGAGCUCGUAGGCGGUUUGUCGCGUCGAAUGUGAAAACCCGGGGCUCAACCCCGGGCCUGCAUUCGAUACGGGCAGACUAGAGUUCGGUAGGGGAGUCUGGAAUUCCUGGUGUAGCGGUGAAAUGCGUAGAGAUCGGGAGGAACACCAGUGGCGAAGGCGGCUACCUGGACCAGCACUGACACUGAGGCACGAAAGCGUGGGGAGCAAACAGG
rnacentral:rRNA from 1 species